rnacentral:rRNA from 1 species
CCUACGGGAGGCAGCAGUGGGGAAUUUUGGACAAUGGGCGAAAGCCUGACGCAGCCAUGCCGCGUGAAUGAUGAAGGUCUUAGGAUUGUAAAAUUCUUUCACCGGGGACGAUAAUGAUAGUACCCGGAGAAGAAGCCCCGGCUAACUUCGUGCCAGCAGCCGCGGUAAUAGUCCUACGGGAGGCAGCAGGUAGUAUGGCAGCCCAGCAGCCGCGGUAAU